UUAUAGCUCAGUCGGGAGAGCAUGAGACUCAAUCUCAGAGUCGUAAGUUCGAGCCCCAUGUUGGGCAAAA